UCAGCCCCAAUGGAAACUGCUCUCCUGCCCUGACCUGUUUAGAGAUUAAGAGAACACAGAACACAGAGAGAGAGAGAGAAAAUAUCAGAAAAAGUGAAUGGAAAAAUCUGCAAGCAAACCAGCCACCUCUAAGAGGGCAAGGUUAAAAGAGAAAGAAUCAGGUGGAAGCUCCUGGUGAGACCCGGAAAACACUGAAGAUUCAGGUUGGGUAAAAGUGAAGUGACAAUUAGUUCCCAAGAAAGAAGAAGGUAAUAAGAAAAAAAACAAAAAGCAAGACAUCGGGGGUGGGUAUUUGCAAGACAGUGGCUGACAGCAAUCAAUCUACAGCGUGUCUUCAAAACCUUCAAUUCUAUUACGUGUGGAAAUGAAAGCAAUUCAUCAAUGGAAAAGCGAAGCACAGAACAGAUUUCCGUGAGCUUGUCGUAUAUCCAUUUACACACAUUUCCAAAUAAACAUCGGGAACAAAUAACUAGAAGACUCGUGAACUUUGGCUCUGUUCACGCUUGUUUGCGAGACUCAUUAUCUACCGAGUUGAGCUUUCUUCUGGAUUACAUUUUCGAAUCCACUAGCAGGUUUUCUGAGCGAGGCUGCUUUGUGAGAAAAACAAGGCUUCUAAAAUCUGAACAAAUGAGAAAUACACACCCACCUUCACCUUUAAGGGAAAUCAUCAAGGCAAAAUAUUCCCAAGCACCCAGCCUCAGUAGUAGAACCGUAAACGGAAGCACGAUUCAUGAAAUUUGCCCUACCUGGAGGAUGUCUACGGUGUAGCUCUUAAGUAUCACUAUGACGCAAAUACAUAAAGACCGGACUCCAUCUCUGGGAUCUGAAUAGAGAAUUCAUAGAAUUCUGAGGCCAAAGAGACUUCGAUGUCUGCUCUGAUUCACACAGGAACGGAGGAUCCUACUGUCUUAAGUCAUACACUACCAUACACAAACAAACCUUCCAACACCACCCGGAGAAAAGCUAUCUACUCUGAAUAGGUCACACUCGGGUUUCCACACCAAGCUGUAGGCUAUUCAUUCGAGCUGUUCAGGCAAUGAGGUAGUUGAGCAAUGAAACGUCCUGUGCAAUUCCAGUAUUUAAUUCACUGUGGCCUUCGAUAUUUAGAAUAUCAAAACGAAAAGUGAGCCAACCCAAUUUUGCAGGUAAGGAAAGUAAGACGUGGAGGAGGGGCAUGAUGUGCAAAGCCAAGAAGCAAGUUAGUCUCAGCAUCAAGACUCCAACAUGGUUUUGACUCCCAAGACCAAGAAGCAUGGCCUUCUACUCAUGGUUUUCAAACUGGGUUCCAUGGACCCCUCAGGGGUUCCAUGCAGAGUCUAAAAGGCAGGAUUCCAGUAUCCUAGUAGUGGUACUUUACCCACUUUCUAUGUUCGAAUCUUUGUAAGAUCUCACUUAGAAAGAGGGACUCCACCGCCUGAACAAGAUCUGGACAUCACUACCCGUACCGUUGUCUUUUAUCAAACAAAUUUCCUCCCUACCAGGUCUAAGUUACCUGACCUCGUUUACCAAAAGGACAGUGGCAAAGCCUCUCCAGGUCCCCUUCCACUGCCCCCAAACCCGGAUCCUAUGUUUUUUUAACUGGCUUUAUCCUCCAGCACAAUUACCUGAGAUGCCAUUUCCCAAAGUGUAGUAUGUGUGCACCUGUUAAUAUCAGGGAAUACUGUUGCUGGAAUGUGCACAUGGCAUUAAAUAAUCCCGAAUCACGUGGUGUGAAAGUUACUCCCUUUUCUAAUUCUUUUGCCCUUACAUCAAGUUUAUACCAAGAAAGCCUCAGUUUAGUGCUAUUAUACCCUUAACAACUCCCCAGUGGUUGCUUUGUACUUAUUCCUGCAAAAGGCUCAGGAAGGCAGGUUUGAAUAAUGCUCCUGCCCUCAGAGGGCAUACCCCAGCCAUGGCAAUAUUUUCUACGUUAUCACAAUUUAAACUUCCGUCGCUUUUAGAAAAGCUUCAAGAUUUUACAAGAUCGCUUAGAGACAACUAGAGGAAUGCUCUGAGCGCCACGGGCAGGGCCAAAGCUUCACCUGUAUCCUCUUAUUACGGGACACAGUGUUAUACAGCACCAUGGGAUUCUUGAAAGGAGGCUCUGAAGUGUGUUUCUUUGGGAAAUCUUUCUUCUUCAAAUGUCAGUUUAAAAGGCAGGCAUGAGUUGAGCAGGAAGCACACCACAGUGUGAUCCUAAGAAAACAGGUGGGCACCUGUAUGCUCAUCUCUGCUGCUUCGUCCCUAGCUAAGGGAAGGAUAUCAUUCACAAAGACCAGAGGGCACACUGCCUCCUAUAACUGAUCAGGUUUGAAAUUCACUACCGACACUCCUGCCACAUAGGCCCCAUAGGUCCCACUAGACGAAGCGGCGGUAGUAGUCACGACUUUGUCUUUAACAUGCCAUGUGUUUCUACACUUCCAUGAAUCAGUCAUGCCUGAUGACCUUCUAUGCAUCCUUCAAAACCCAGUUGAAGGUUAUGUCCUCUGUUAAAUCUUCUCUAUGGUAGAUUAUUGAUUGGCAGACAUUCUCUCUCUCUCUCUCUCUCUCUCUCUCUCUCUCUCCACUCUCUCUCUUUUAUAUACACAAACGGAGAACAAUCCCCAUACCCCAUUAAUGACGGGUUUGGUCACGUGGCUUGCUCUGGCCAAUGGAAUGCAAAUUGAUACGAUGUUUGCCACACUGAGCAUAC